GCCCUUCGGGGUGUUGGCGAGUGGCGCACGGAUGAGUAACGCGUAGGUCAUCUGCCCUUAGGUCAGGGAUAGCCCUUCGAAAGUUGGAUUAAUACCUGAUAAUAUGGCGACAUCAAAGGAUUUAUUCGCCUAAGGAUGAGCCUGCGUUAGAUUAGCUUGUUGGUGAGGUAACGGCUCACCAAGGCGACGAUCUAUAGCCGAGUUGAGAGGCUGAUCGGCCACAUUGGAACUGAGACACGGUCCAGACUCCUACGGGAGGCAGCAGCUAAGAAUCUUCCGCAAUGGGCGCAAGCCUGACGGAGCGACGCCGCGUGAACGAUGAAGGCCUUUCGGGUUGUAAAGUUCUUUUAUAAGAGACGAAUGUCUGGUGUAGGCCAGACUGACUGUAUCUUUUGAAUAAGGUCCGGCUAACUACGUGCCAGCAGCCGCGGUAAUACGUAGGGACCAAGCGUUGUUCGGAAUUAUUGGGCGUAAAGGGUACGUAGGCGGCAUGAUAAGUCAGAUGUGAAACCCUCGGGUUCAACCUGAGGCCUGCGUCUGAUACUGUUGUGCUAGAGUUACUGAGAGGAAGACGGAAUUCCUGGUGUAGGGGUGAAAUCUGUAGAUAUCAGGAAGAACACCUAUUGCGAAGGCAGUCUUCUGGCAGCUAACUGACGCUGAUGUACGAAAGUUAGGGUAGCAAACAGGAUUAGAGACCCUGGUAGUCCUAACCGUAAACGUUGUAUACUAGGUGGUUGAAGUAUUGAUCCUUUGACUGCCGGAGCUAACGCCAAUUAAGUAUACCGCCUGGGGAGUAUGCCGGCAACCGGUUGGAAACUCAAAGGAAUUGAGCGGGGGCCCGCACAAGCAGUGGAGCAUGUUGUUUAAUUCGAAGAUACGCGAGAAACCUUACCAGGUCUUGACAUAUACCUGAAUGGUGUGGAAACACAUCCGCCCCUCGGGGCAGGUAUACAGGUGCUGCAUGGUUGUCGUCAGCUCGUGCCGUGAGGUGUUGGGUUAAGUCCCGCAACGAGCGCAACCCUUAUUCUUUGUUGCUAACAGGUUAAGCUGAGCACUCUAAGAAGACUGCCGGUGACAAACCGGAGGAAGGUGGGGAUGACAUCAAAUCAUCACGGCCCUUAUGAUCUUGGGCUACAAACGUGCUACCAAUGGGCGGCACAAAGAGUUGCGAUACCGCGAGGUGGAGCUAAU
rnacentral:rRNA from 1 species